CUCUCCCAAGACGGUGAGCUCAGCGGAGGCCCCCAGAGAAACAUGCUAUGCGGGAGGAGAGUUUCCCCAUAAGACAGACCGUCCUUCAGCCCCGGCCACCAAAGAGGAGCAACACGGGCCUGCUGUUCUCCAGGACUGAAUGCGGCUGCAUCCUUCCCUUCCUCUGCUUCCUGCUCCCCAAAGGAAAUGCUGCAGGUUCCUGGAGGGACCUGGUGAUCCGGGGCAGAGCACACAGAGUCGAGAUUGCUGUGGGGUUCACGGGCCUCCCCUCCCGGGACCAGGGGCACCUGGGCAGGGGAGUCUGCACCAUGCGGGAAAGCCCAGUACACGCAGCUGCUCACCACUGCAGACUCCACAGUGCAGGGCUGACAAGGCCUCCCUCUUUAUCUGCCCUGGACCACAAGUGGAAAAGAUGAAGACAAAGCAAAAGCCAAUAUCCCUUAAGAACUUUCCAAUUGUUCUUGUCAUGUGUCGUUUUGUGUUUUUGGGGGUGUGGGGAGGGAUGGUGGUUUGAAACAGCUCCGAAGUGCACUCCAGAGGAAAGCAGGAGGGGUGACAUGUGUGGACACCUGAAAAGAGGAAGGGUCCUCAUGAAGAGGGUCACUUAGUUAAAAAGUUCAAGCACAGAGGAUAUAGAACCAGGUGGAUAUAAUCAGAGAACAAGAUGCAGAUCUAGCGAGAUGGGUCCCACCACCCCUGGAAUAUGUUCCUGGCAGAGGGGCUGGUCCGCUACAGUGGGCUGGGAAUGGUAACAUUGUAUACUUUUGUAAAUUCACAAAACCCUCUGGUCAGCAACAGAGGAAUAAAGGGCAGAGAAUAAACCCCAGACAAAGAUUCACUUAUCUUAAAAAUGAAAGGUUGGAAAUUAACUUUAUGCUACUGUACCACCUUCGAAGUAUUUCUGGCAGGUGCCUGGAGGAUUCAGAUUAAUCACCAAAUUACCUGCCGAGUCAGGGCCUCCCAUUAGAAGGGAGUACCAGUUUCCAUUAGGAGCACUAGCCGGAAAAUACAGUCUUUCAGCAGAGGACAUACGGUCUUCUUUCCUUCUCUGGGUUAACGGAGUGGUCGUGGUUGGCUGGGGCAGAUAAUGGUGUGGUCUUCCUCUGUGGAUCUGUUUUCUGAGUCCCUGGGCUGCAGCUGUUGAAUUUCCAGACACAAACAAGUAUGCAUUCUGAGAGCCUCGCCGAGCCCACACAGCCGGGAGAGCCAAGCUGGAUUCCAUUCUGCUUUGUACAUCAGCAGCUCUGCUGCCAGCUGAACUCCAGGGCAAAAGCUGUGCCUGGUAAUGAUGCAGGCAGCAGGGAUGGCACAGCUGGCCUGGCCUAGGCCAUUAGGGGGACACACUUGGCCUUAUUUGGGGGAGAGCGAGAAAUGGAAGGCCAUGAAGAGAUGUGGAAACAUACAUCAGCCUCCACAAAACUGGUGCACAGCAGGGAAACAAUCUGGUUUUGCUAGUCGUCAACAACAUGCCUGUGUGUGUGCCUGUUUAUGCUUAGGUAAGCCCAGCCUCCCACUCGCUGAAAAGAGUAGGCAGACAGGAAGGAGUGACCAACUCUGUGUCAGCCGUCAUCGUGUAGAGAGCAGCUAAGGGGAACAGGGGGGCUGGAAUCCCAUGGCCUCGCCUAGUGCCACUACAGCAUCCUCUCUGCCCAUGGUGCCAGAUAUCUGAAUGGGAGGACAAAGGGGGCACAGGUGGUGAAAAAAACCAAGAUGCACAUUUGGGUAUUUUCCUUCUUUUGCUAGAAUGUCAUUUCUUGAUGUCCAUUUCUUGUCACCCAUUCGUGAUCAGGGACUAAGUUCCCUCUGCACCAGACCAGGUGGAAGACCGAGCCAGAGUUCCUCUGAGCCACGGGAGAGAUGAUGAGCUAUGGAGUGGAGUAGGGGCUUUUGGCAGCUCUCAGGUGAUUUCAGAUGCUUGGCGGGAAUGAUACUGUGGAUAAAAGGGUUCACCGGGACAGUUGCAAGUUGUUCCGGCCAAAGGAAUUGUGAGAUGCGGAUGAGAUUUGGUGUGGGUGGGGGUGGAGACAGGUGCUGAGGUCAUUGGGAUGAUGGUACUUAGAUGCAGGUUUAGAAUUCUUGCGAACCUAAGAGAAUCCAGUGCCCCAGCUAAACUAAAAGGGGGCAGGCAGCGUGUAAGAGGAUGAUGGGGUAGCUCAGAGAGGAAGGGGAUAUUCUUUCUCAAGAAUGACAAGCCCAAAGGCAUUGCAUAACAAUUGUGAUCUCCCAGCUGGAAGUUUCCUCUAGCACAGGUGUCCACAGUGCGGUUCCCAAACCAGCAGCCUCCAUGUCAGUCACUGGGAACUUGUUAGAAAUGCAGAUUCUCAGGCCAUCCCAACCAUGAGAUCAGAAACUCUAGGGAUGGGGCCCCACAAUCUGUCUUGUCUUUCUUUCUUUCUCUCUCUCUCUUCCUUCCUUCUUUCCUUCCUUCCUUCCUUCCUGCCUUCCCGCCUUCCUUCCUUCCUUCCUUCCUUUCUUCCUUUCUUUUCUUUCCUUUCUUUUUCUUUCUUUCUUUCUCUCUCUCUCUUUCUUUUUUUCGACCGGGUCUCACUCUGUCAUCCAGGCUGGAGUGCAGUGGCACAAAAAUGGCCCACUGCAGCCUCAACCUCCUGGGCUCAAGUGACCCUCCCACCUCAGCCUCCUGAGUAGCUGGGACUACAGGCCUGCACUACCAUGUCCGACUGAUUCUAUUUUUAAAUUUUUUGUAGAAACAGGGUCUUGCCAUGUUGUCGCGGCUGGUCUUGAACUCCUGGGCUCAAGCAAUCCUACUGCCUUGGCCUCCCAAAGUGCUGGGAUGACAGAUGUGAGCCACUGUGCCCGGCCUCACAAUCUGUUUUUACCAGCCCCCUAGAUGAUCCUAAUGAAAGCUUGAGAACCACUGGUCUAGAUCGUGCAAAUGAAAGUUGCCUGAAUGAGUUGGAUUCUGCAGGCCUGUGAGGACCCAGAGCAGGCAGGGAGCCAGCUGCCCAGCACGAGUUCAAGAUGAGCUGACCUGGUUUCAGCCUCCAUCCCUGGGUUCUAGGUCCCUGCCCUUUCCAAAGAAACAAUGAACCAGACCAGACCACUGCUUUGGCAUAAGAUCACACUUUAGUUCAGAGACACAUUUGCAUAAAUACUUGAAAUGGAUCCACCCCUGCAGGUGGCAGCCUGAGAACAUGUGGCUCUCCACAACCCUGUGACGCUGCAGCCCUUUAGGUGAUGGAUUUUAACACUGAAGACAGUCGUGGUCAUUCUUGACGACAGCUUGGGGUGCAGCUUUGGAGCCUGCUUUGACAUUCACCAUUGACUCCCUGCCCCACGCCUCUCUUGUACUAAUGUUUUCCCCUCUGAGGUAGAUUAUUUAUCGGGGAAACCAGAUAGAAUUUUUUUUUUCAUUUAACUUUGCUAGUCCUUUGCAAACAGACUGACGCUGAGUGUCCUGUCUGAGUCAAUAAGUGCACUUUUACCUUUUAACCUAUGCCCUCUACUUGAACCCGAGCAAGGUCCAGUCCACUGGACAGUUGAUGAUAGGAUCUGUCGCCCCAUCCCCUCUCCUCUUCCCCCUUAGGAAUUCGUGCAGUACUGGAGGGGUUGCGGCAAUGGGAGGCCUGGGUGGGCCAUGCUGCCUUGAUAUAUAGAGUCAUCACAGUGGAGACCCUUGUCUGCACCUCAGUACCCCACGUCCAGGAGCAUGAG
rnacentral:lncRNA from 1 species